GUCUGGACGCGCUGGGUGGGUGCUGGGGGCUCCUGGGAACUGGGUUGGGGCCGAGCGAAACGCUAGCCAGGCGCAAGCGCGCCCCGACUGCAGCUGCUGCCCGUGCGCCCCCGCCCCACCCCGUCGGCCCACCCGGAGACCCCAGCGCCGCGUCGCCUUCGGAUCCCCGGGGCAGUGUUCGGGAGGUAAGGAGCCGGGCUUCCAGG
rnacentral:other from 1 species